UACAGAGGGGGCAAGCGUUGUUCGGAAUUACUGGGCGUAAAGGGCGCGUAGGCGGCCUGUUAAGUCGAACGUGAAAUCCCCGGGCUCAACCCGGGAACUGCGUCCGAUACUGGCAGGCUUGAAUCCGGGAGAGGGAUGCGGAAUUCCAGGUGUAGCGGUGAAAUGCGUAGAUAUCUGGAGGAAUACCGGUGGCGAAGGCGGCAUCCUGGACCGGCAUUGACGCCUGAGGAGCGGAAAGCCAGGGGAGCAAACGGGG
rnacentral:rRNA from 1 species